rnacentral:rRNA from 1 species
ACGUGGGCAACCUGCCCUCAGCUCUGGGAUAAGCCGGGGAAACCCGGUCUAAUACCGGAUAUGACAUGUCCUCGCAUGGGGGUGUGUGGAAAGAUUUAUCGGCUGGGGAUGGGCCCGCGGCCUAUCAGCUUGUUGGUGGGGUGAUGGCCUACCAAGGCGACGACGGGUAGCCGGCCUGAGAGGGCGAUCGGCCACACUGGGACUGAGACACGGCCCAGACUCCUACGGGAGGCAGCAGUGGGGAAUAUUGCACAAUGGGGGAAACCCUGAUGCAGCCAUGCCGCGUGUGUGAAGAAGGCC